UACGUAGGUGACAAGCGUUGUCCGGAUUUACUGGGCGUAAAGUGUGCGCAGGUGGCCGCGCAAGUCGAGUGUGAAAUCCCCGAGCUUAACUUGGGAAUUGCGCUCGAAACUACGUGGCUCGAGUGUGGCAGAGGAAGGUGGAAUUCCACGUGUAGCGGUGAAAUGCGUAGAGAUGUGGAGGAACACCGAUGGCGAAGGCAGCCUUCUGGGCCAACACUGACGCUCAUGCACGAAAGCGUGGGGAGCAAACAGG
rnacentral:rRNA from 1 species